UUGAAAAGAGGACUGACAAGCUACAAUGUCCCAUUCCUGGUUUUAUUCAUAGAUUUGUGAUGACUACAAGGAACAAUCAGCCAAAAGUCUGCGAGAAUCAAGCUUUACAGGCAAAAUGACCUUACGGAUACCAAUGACCCCAAAACGUUUUGGAGUGAGAGAUACACGUGAACCAGCAAACCAUCUCUCCAAGGAGGAUGAGGAAGAUGCUUCGGGUCGAUGAAGGGAAGGAGACAAAUGGAAAGCUAAUGAAACUGAGACUUGCAGGCGUCAUAUAACUCAGUCAAGGCCAAUACGUGGUGAAGCUGGGAUUCAAGCCCAGGCCUGUCUUACUCCAAAGCCAUCUCUUAAUCCCUUAAGCAAUCCUGCAUAGGGGAUACAUGUGCACUGUUCUAAAGACAUUCAGAUGAAUGUCUAAGAAGAUGACCACUCCAGAGCAUGGACAGAUUGAGGUGCAGAGCACACUAAAGCAUCUCGCAGCAGCACUACAUCUGGGACACGAGGUACAGGCUGGAUCUUCUCUAAAAUAAGCUAUCAGGUGCCACUUUACUCAAGCCUCUUCCUUAGCAAUAGCAAGUAUAUCGUACUUGGGAUUAACUCCGGCACAGAAGAGCCUAAAAAACUAAAUUGUGAUUUUGCUACUUGAGAAAUAUUUUAAAACGGAUGAUCUCAGGGUUUCACUAUUGCUUCUUGAAAUGUGAUACUGGAAGAAGACUUCUGAAAAGGGCCUAAACUCUGACAUAGACAUGAUGCACAUACACCAAGAAAAAGGUCAUACUUCUAAAACUGCUCGAAAAUUUCCAUGUGCCGCUCAGCAUUUCAUAGCAGAAGUACAUUCCCCCUCCCCCUCAAAUCCUCACACCCUUAUGGGAAUUUCCCCAAUAGCAGAAGUUUUAUAUAUUUUUCUUUAUUAUAUUUUCUAUGAUGACUAAUGGCCACAGGAUUUAAACUAUUAGCCAAAUAUGACGAGCUGAAUUAAAACAAGAGACUUGGGCUGUGAUGGCCAAAAGCUGCCCUAUACCUAUGCUCUUAUGAGGAUCCUCUGGUCUCUCCAAGUCCCAAAUCUGUGGCCUCUCUGAGAGCCGGCUUGUGUGAGUGUGCUUGGGUCUUAGGAGGGAACUUGCAUGUGCCUCGCCUUGUAUCCCUUCCAACAAUCCUCCCUUCAGAUAUCAGCACUUCCUUUCUAACCUGUAUGUGCUCAUCUUCUUAGACUUAUCAAUUUAACAGGUCCCUGGAAAUGCCACUUGAAACACUGCUGUACUGUCUUGGUUAACUGCUUUUUCUUGUGGUUGUAUGCUACUGAAUGCUAACUGGAUUAUUUAACCCUGAAAAAGAAUUCUGCUGUUCAUGGCUUUAUACCAAGAAGGUUGUACUGGUUCCUCUCAUACUGUAUAACAAGGCCAGUGGUUAUACCACAUCCUUGGUUACGUUGCAAGGAAUGAGAACAAAGGUGUCUCUGCUUGAAACCCUGAGGUUGUUACUUUCCUAAAGUGCUUGGUUUAAUUUUUAAACUGAAGUCUAAAACACAGCACUCAAGAGCUCUUCCACAGAAAAGGAUUUCUCUAUGUUGAUGCUAUUUUAGGAAGGUUUUAGAUAAGGCACUUGACUUGAAUGUGAAGGCUGCUGUCUCUUGUUAUUUUUAUAGGCUUUUGAGAUCAUUUUAGAAGUCUCAAUGAAAGGACUAAGAGAACUGUUUUAGAAAGAAGCCAGGUGGCUUUGCAAAUACAAUCUCAGUAAUAGCAAGAAUGGAAGGCAUGGUGUUUGGAAUGUUCCACUCCCACAUAUGGGCUGGAGCAGUCACAAAAGUCUGAAACAGUCAUAGACUGAUGACCAUCAGAAGAGGGAGCAGAGAAGAAACCAGUAACUGGGAAAUAAUGACCAGUCCCUCUUAAUCUUUCUGUUGUUGUUGCUGCCUUUAUUGGGCUUUUUCUUGAGUACACUGUCAUAAAUAUGCAGCUGGGAUAACAAUGCUUCAGGGAUUUGGUAGGACUCUUAACAAUUCUCCAAAUAUUACUUCAAUAAACAAAGCAAGGCUUUUCAAAAAGUACCAUUACCUACACACAUCUUAGUUUUCUUGCCCAGAGAGAUUCACUCUUAGAUGAGUCCUCCAGCUACUACAGAUUCCAACAGAUGACAGCAGCAGGAUGGAGCAGCAAAUUGUGCUACUUAACCUUAUUCACACAUUAUUUUUCUUCAUCAUUCCAGUUAGAGGACUCAAUAUAUUUGAACAAUUAUUUUUAUCUCUAGUCAGUAUGCAUUAUACGAUGCUCUUCUUCUUCCCCACCCAGGACAACCUAUCAUGCAAAAGUUCUGACUUACCUGUCCC